GCGAAAGUGGCGGAAUGGUAGACGCGCUGGAUUUAGGAUCCAGUGGCUCCGGCCGUGGGGGUUCGAGUCCCCCCUUUCGCA
rnacentral:tRNA from 1 species